ensembl:lncRNA
GUGCUAGCCACAUAUCCAUCACCAUUAGAAAACAAACUCUCAGGCUAUAGAACAUGUAUAUGUGAAAAAUGCAAUCCCAGAACCCCAGGCCCUUGCUGAUCACAACUGGCAGAGACUGUGAUGACGUCCAGAAGGAUGUUAGGAAUGUAUUCAGCCACACAUAACGGAACCUGACUUGGAGUGGAACAAACAGGCUUACAUCUCUCACCAAGAAUUCUGGAGGGGGGCCCAGGUUCAAUUCCUGGUGAGGGAACCAGAUCCCACAGGCUGCAAUGAAGACUGAAGAUCCUACAUGCUGCUACUAAGACCCAGCACAGCCAAACAAAUAUUUUUUUAAAAGGAG